rnacentral:rRNA from 1 species
GACGAACGCUGGCGGCGUGCUUAACACAUGCAAGUCGAACGGAAAGGCCCUGCUUUUGUGGGGUGCUCGAGUGGCGAACGGGUGAGUAACACGUGAGUAACCUGCCCUUGACUUUGGGAUAACUUCAGGAAACUGGGGCUAAUACCGGAUAGGAGCUCCUGCUGCAUGGUGGGGGUUGGAAAGUUUCGGCGGUUGGGGAUGGACUCGCGGCUUAUCAGCUUGUUGGUGGGGUAGUGGCUUACCAGGGCUUUGACGGGUGGCCGGCCUGAGAGGGUGACCGGCCACAUUGGGACUGAGAUACGGCCCAGACUCCUACGGGAGGCAGCAGUGGGGAAUAUUGCACAAUGGGCGGAAGCCUGAUGCAGCAACGCCGCGUGCGGGAUGACGGCCUUCGGGUUGUAAACCGCUUUCGCCUGUGACGAAGCGUGAGUGACGGUAAUGGGUAAAGAAGCACCGGCUAACUACGUG